rnacentral:rRNA from 1 species
AGUAAACGGCGGCCGUAACUAUAACGGUCCUAAGGUAGCGAAAUUCCUUGUCGGGUAAGUUCCGACCCGCACGAAAGGCGUAACGAUUUGGGCACUGUCUCAACGAGAGACUCGGUGAAAUCAUAGUACCUGUGAAGAUGCAGGUUACCCGCGACAGGACGGAAAGACCCCGUGGAGCUUUACUGUAGCCUGAUAUUGAAAUUCGGCACAGCUUGUACAGGAUAGGUAGGAGCCUUUGAAACGUGAGCGCUAGCUUACGUGGAGGCGCUGGUGGGAUACUACCCUAGCUGUGUUGGCUUUCUAACCCGCACCACUUAUCGUGGUGGGAGACAGUGUCAGGCGGGCAGUUUGACUGGGGCGGUCGCCUCCUAAAAGGUAACGGAGGCGCUCAAAGGUUCCCUCAGAAUGGUUGGAAAUCAUUCAUAGAGUGUAAAGGCAUAAGGGAGCUUGACUGCGAGACCUACAAGUCGAGCAGGGUCGAAAGACGGACUUAGUGAUCCGGUGGUUCCGCAUGGAAGGGCCAUCGCUCAACGGAUAAAAGCUACCCCGGGGAUAACAGGCUUAUCUCCCCCAAGAGUUCACAUCGACGGGGAGGUUUGGCACCUCGAUGUCGGCUCAUCGCAUCCUGGGGCUGUAGUCGGUCCCAAGGGUUGGGCUGUUCGCCCAUUAAAGCGGUACGCGAGCUGGGUUCAGAACGUCGUGAGACAGUUCGGUCCCUAUCCGUCGUGGGCGUAGGAAAUUUGAGAGGAGCUGUCCUUAGUACGAGAGGACCGGGAUGGACAUACCUCUGGUGUACCAGUUGUCGUGCCAACGGCAUAGCUGGGUAGCUAUGUGUGGACGGGAUAAGUGCUGAAAG